rnacentral:lncRNA from 1 species
CAAGCAUGGCUGGUUUGUAAUAGUGAAAAUCACUUUGUCAUUUCAGACACUCCUGCUGAAGGAAGGGCUCUGGGACGAAGAACCGCCUUGCCGGAGACACCUCGCAGGCUUCCGGACCCCCUUCCUUGUUUCCUGCACAGCGCUCCCGGCUCCCUUCCUGCAGCCCUCAGGCAUGUGCACAUGCUAGGCUAGAAAUGGCCCUUGUGGGCCGCCAUCCAAUGGCUCUAGCGUCAGUUGCUGUUCCAGCGGGGCAAGAUAAAGGCACAAGCAGGGUCAGCGGGCACCCAACAGUGGUCGGCUAUUGUUCCCACGAUGGUGUCCAGAGCCAGUCCCAUAAGGCCCAAGGUAUUGGACCCCCAACCUCUCCCUUCCCCAGUGUGUCCCUGCCCAGCCUUCCAUCCACAGGGCAGUCGGCCUCCUUGUGAGUGUGUGUCUGCUCCGGGGACACCGCCUGGGCCCCUGCGCCUUGCUGGGCAGCCUGGAGUGCAGGCCUUUCCUCACCUCUGAUGGACAUGGGCCGCGCCCCGACCAGGCCUGUGCUGUGCUGCAGCCUGCCCGCCUGGAAUGAGGGGCACGUUGGCCAGUGGGGUGCCAACACCAAGACAUGGUCCAUGUCCCUUGCAGCCUGAGUGGCGCUGUGCUCCAGGGAACCUCUGCAGUGCUUGAGAAGUGUGGGCCUAGUCAGCAGGUCAGCAGCUCCUGUCCCGGUAAGACAAAGUGGUGACGGUCAUCUUCUUGUUCCCCAGUGAAAACUGAAUGUCAGAGACACUGUCAGCCAGCAUCCGGGUUGUCGGGCAGAAGGACGCUCAUUUUUCCUGAUGUUAGUGACUUUGCCAAAGGGAAUACUGAGCCGCUUUUGCUGAGUCUGAUGUGAUCACAUCAAGAUUAAUGUGCCCUCAUAGGUUGGCUGUUGGUGGAAGAGUCUGGACAAAGCAGCUAAAUGAUUACAGGAGAAACAUUUGACCACAAGUUAUUUUGCAAUGAAGAAAUGCAUAUUUUAUUAUUAAAUUUUACACAAUAAAAUUUAUUAUAUGCUCUCAUGUGUAUGUUGGUGGGCUGUUGGGGAGUCCAUCCUUGUAUGUAUUUCUGGAUGACAGAAAAUUUUCUUUUCAUUUUGAUGGGCAUGAAAAUUAUGGGGUGGUUAUUUGGAUGAGAAAAUGAGAUGCUGUGCUGGUCCUGGAGGGAUGGUAAGAAUUCAGAGGGCUCCAGAUGUUUUCACUGUUCCUUUGGUGGGGUGGUGGUGGUGUCCAUAAUUUGUUGAUAUUACAUUCAUAAUUUGGAGCUUGCUGUGUUUUUGAUGGACUGACGAGAAUGUGGUAUGUGUUAACAAGUGUGGGUGCUCUCUAGCCACACUUGGAUACUUGAGAUCAAGGGAAAGUGUGACUCGUUUUAUGAGACUGAUCAGGGUUUGCUAUAUUUAGAGGGUGUGAGAAGUAAGGGACAUAAACUCAGGGAGUUGGGCUUAGGUGUUUGUAAUUUGUUUUUUGUAAUAUUUUCCCUGUGGUCUUCUUGUAUAUUUGUUUUGAUCCAUGAAUUAACACAUGCUGGGAAGUUUGUGUAUAAUCUGUGUGUUUGCAUAUGGACUAUGAUAAUGAAUGUUUGGGUAUAUAUCUCUGAGUUUGCAUUGUGAUUGUUAUAAUUGGGAAAUGGAGGAGGGGUAUAUGUAUAUUCCAGACAUGGUGUUUUGGUAUGUGGGAUUUUGACUAAAUUUUAUUUUCAUGUAUAUGUACUUGAGUGUGUGAAGACUGGUCAGUUACUAAUUUUCUGGAGUAGUUGGAUGAAUAUAUUUACUGUGUGGUGAGGAGACAGCAGGUUUCUGUAUUUUGGAAGACAAGGAGAUAUUUCUUCAUAUUUGGAAGUGUGUGAGCUUGUAUAUGAAGAUGGUAAAAUAUUUUGUGUAUACUUGGGUAUAUUUGCAUAUUUGUUUGCAGUGAGUAACCAUGUAGACAUGAGGUACCUAUGGAGAGUUACUUGUGUAUUGAAUUUUUAUUAAUUACCGCACCUCAGGUGUGUGUGU